rfam:Dipodomys ordii contig_16660, whole genome shotgun sequence.
UGGCUCAGUGGUAGAGCUCUUGCCUUGCAUGCAUGAGGCCCUGGGUUCGAUUCCUCAG